rnacentral:rRNA from 1 species
GAUGAACGCUGGCGGCGUGCCUAAUACAUGCAAGUCGAGCGAACGGACGAGAAGCUUGCUUUUCUGAUGUUAGCGGCGGACGGGAGAGUAACACGUGGAUAACCUACCUAUAAGACUGGGAUAACUUCGGGAAACCGGAGCUAAUACCGGAUAAUAUUUUGAACCGCAUGGUUCAAAAGUGAAAGACGGUCUUGCUGUCACUUAUAGAUGGAUCCGCGCUGCAUUGGCUAGUGGGUAAGGUAACGGCUUACCAAGGCGACGAUGGAUUGCCGACCGGACAGGGGGUAGGCCGCCUCUGGAGGUGAGCCACCGCCUUGGCUCUGACGGGAGGCAGCGGUACCGAAGGGUCCGCAAUGGGGGGAAGCUUGACGGAUCGGCGCCGCGCGGGUGAUGAAAGGCUUCGUGUCGUAAAACGCUGUUAUGGGUGAAGAACAUAUGUGUAAGGGGCUGAGCACAUCGUGACGGUACCUACUCAGAAAGCCCCGGCUAACUACGUG